rnacentral:rRNA from 1 species
AUACGGAGGGGGUUAGCGUUGUUCGGAAUUACUGGGCGUAAAGCGCACGUAGGCGGACUGGAAAGUUGGGGGUGAAAUCCCGGGGCUCAACCCCGGAACUGCCUCCAAAACUUCCAAUCUAGAGAUCGAGAGAGGUGAGUGGAAUUCCAAGUGUAGAGGUGAAAUUCAUAGAUAUUUGGAGGAACACCGGUGGCGAAGGCGGCUCACUGGCUCGAUACUGACGCUGAGGUGCGAAAGCGUGGGGAGCGAACAGGAUUAGAAACCCCAGUAGUCC